UACGUAGGGUGCAAGCGUUGUCCGGAAUUAUUGGGCGUAAAGAGCUCGUAGGCGGUUUGUCGCGUCUGCUGUGAAAACCUGGGGCUUAACUCCGGGCCUGCAGUGGGUACGGGCAGACUAGAGUGCGGUAGGGGAGACUGGAAUUCCUGGUGUAGCGGUGAAAUGCGCAGAUAUCAGGAGGAACACCGGUGGCGAAGGCGGGUCUCUGGGCCGUAACUGACGCUGAGGAGCGAAAGCGUGGGGAGCGAACAGGAUUAGAUACCCUAGUAGU
rnacentral:rRNA from 1 species